AAUAAAUAAGUAAGUAAGAACCUUAUUAAUUUUAUAAAGAUUAAGAGUGCCAACCCUAACACUCAGUUGAAGUGUAGGUAUUUAACUCGCCGAAAGGGCUAAGUUUCCGUACUGCUUUAGCUCAUAUAUAUACUGUGCUUACAAUGAGUAUGUAUGCUUACUUGGGUCAUGUUUAUGGGAAUUGCCCAAAGAUAAAAGAAGAAUUGUCAAAAACUAGGGUGUCAUAGCCAUAGCUCGCAUCGAUACCAAAACAUUAUUACAAAAAUUGAGAUCAUAAAAUGUAGGAAACCAACUCAUAAAAUUAAUCACAAACCAGCAUGGACAUAAUAGCAAAACUAAUAUGAAGGCCUGAAAUCGCUCUCUAACCAUCUUUGAUCAAAACAUAACUAUGAAGAGAGGUCAAGGCAGUACAAAAAAGGGUCAGUCAGGUCGGAUUCCUACUUCCAAGCCGUUUUGCGAUUGUCGACACUGCGAAUGUAGAAACUGUCCCGACGUUCUACAAAAACUAGCGAUUACGAUAAAAGAUAGCAAGAGCGGCGGGAUCCGCGGCAAAGGGGCGAAACGAAAGAAAUGCAGUAAGAGCCUAAAGAGAGUGUCACAGACAUCAGAACAGCGGCCUAGCAUUCUAGACAUGUUGAACCCCAACCGAAAUUGCGACUGCGAAAUAAUGGCGCGCGCUAUUCGAUCUCACAUUCAUAUGAACAUGGGUAUGACCGACCAAAGAGGCGGGAAUUCGGAGCAAAGACCCUCCAACUCCAAAGACAUAGAAUAAAACAUAUGAUACAACGUUAAUUUCUAAGUAAGCAUUAAAAUACUUUUCGAUUUAA